rnacentral:rRNA from 1 species
GCGAUCAUACCAGCACUAAUGCACCGGAUCCCAUCAGAACUCCGAAGUUAAGCGUGCUUGGGCGAGAGCAGUACUAGGAUGGGUGACCCCCUGGGAAGUCCUCGUGUUGCACUU